CGAACGGGUGAGUAAUGCGUGACCAACCUGCCCCAUGCUCCAGAAUAGCUCUUGGAAACGGGUGGUAAUGCUGGAUGCUCCAACUUGACGCAUGUCUUGUUGGGAAAGUGUUUAGUGGCAUGGGAUGGGGUCGCGUCCUAUCAGCUUGUAGGCGGGGUAAUGGCCCACCUAGGCUUCGACGGGUAGCCGGCCUGAGAGGGCGGACGGCCACAUUGGGACUGAGACACGGCCCAGACUCCUACGGGAGGCAGCAGCC
rnacentral:rRNA from 1 species